GACGAACGCUGGCGGCGUGCCUAAUACAUGCAAGUCGAACGCAGUGGGUACGGGGGAGUAACACGUGGGUAACCUCCCAUCAGAGGGGAUAACACUUGGAAACCGGUGCUAAACCGAUACUGAUGGAUGGACCCGCGGUGCAGUAGCUAGUUGGUGAGGUAACGGCUCACCAAGGCCACGAUGCAUAGCCGUCCUGAGAGGGUUAUCGGGCACACUGGGACUGAGACACGGCCACGGAGCCUACGGUAGUCAGCAGGAGGGAAGGUUCGGGAAUGGACGAAAGUCUGACAGAGCAACGCCGGGUGGGGGAGGAAGGUUUUCGGAUCGUAAAACUCUGUUGUUAGAGAGGCGGUAUCUAUCCAUAAAGCCACGGCUAACUACGUGCCAGCAGCCGCGGUAAUAC
rnacentral:rRNA from 1 species